rnacentral:pre_miRNA from 1 species
ACAUCAAGUAAGGGUUGGUGGUGGUGGAGGAGGAGGAGAACAUACGAAGGGUACUGUGGCGGCAUCUCUGGGGAAGAGUAAGAAGUAGACACAUAAGAAGGAGAAAAACGAAAGAGGUUAUACAAAAAGAACUAGAGAGAGGAUAGAUUUAAUUAAUUACCAGAGAAAGUUUGCGGAGAGAGGUCUUGGAAGAGAGGCGGAGAAGCAGAGAUGACAUAGCUAAUAGCUUCGCUUGGUUGCUCUGUGUGUUUCUUCUCUAAAGGGUUUUCGAGUUAGUCAAGAUCUAAUUAAGACCAAAGUGCUUGCCACAAGAAAAAGGAGAAGUAGGGUUCUCAAUUAUUACUAGAGAGAUGUCUCUUUCUCUUUAUUUUUUCCACGUUUCUCUCGUUUUUCUCCUUCUUAUGUGUCUACUUCUUACUCUUCCCCAGAGAUGCCGCCACAGUACCCUUCGUAUGUUCUCCUCCUCCUCCACCACCACCAACCCUUACUUGAUGU